AUUGAACGCUGGCGGCAGGCUUAACACACGCAAGUCGAGCGGGGUGAUGGUGCUUGCACUAUCACUUAGCGGCGGACGGGUGAGUAAUGCUUAGGAAUCUGCCUAUUAGUGGGGGACAACAUCUCGAAAGGGAUGCUAAUACCGCAUACGUCCUACGGGAGAAAGCAGGGGAUCACUUGUGACCUUGCGCUAAUAGAUGAGCCUAAGUCGGAUUAGCUAGUUGGUGGGGUAAAGGCCUACCAAGGCGACGAUCUGUAGCGGGUCUGAGAGGAUGAUCCGCCACACUGGGACUGAGACACGGCCCAGACUCCUACGGGAGGCAGCAGUGGGGAAUAUUGGACAAUGGGGGGAACCCUGAUCUAGCCAUGCCGCGUGUGUGAAGAAGGCCUUAUGGUUGUAAAGCACUUUAAGCGAGGAGGAGGCUCUUUUGGUUAAUACCCAAGAUGAGUGGACGUUACUCGCAGAAUAAGCACCGGCUAACUCUGUGCCAGCAGCCGCAGUAA
rnacentral:rRNA from 1 species